ACACCCAAAAAAAAAACAAUCACUCUCUCUCUAACCCUCUCUCCCUCCACUGUCUCUCCCUCGCCGGAGAAACCAUGAGCUGUCGCCGUCUCCUCUUUUCCCUUACUGCGUCUCUCGUUCUCUGUAGAGAACGCCGCCUCUCAAUCAACAACGCCAUCCCUUUCUUCUAUCCCUUCUUCGAUGAAGAACCGGACAGUAGCCGCCUCAAUAAUACGACGAAGAGAAGGCCUCACUCUAGAGCCAAAAAUUUCUUUUAUUGAAAGAUAGUUUUAUGACAAAUUCUUAUGAAUCUGUCCAAGAGUUCAGAUUUCAAAGUUCAAGACAUGAAGAGUUCAUUUGGAAUAGGAUCCAGAUGGUUUUUUUUAGUUUCCUGUUUUAUUAUUUUUAUUUGUAUAUUAUUCUCUCUUGAUUAUUUUGGCGUGUAAUAAUAAACUCUGUAUAUAAUAAAAAGGGGUAAAUACCUGGGGAGGGAAUAUACUUGCUACUUGCUUAUUUUAUUUCUUAGUUUAUCAUAAAUUUAUGUGUGUUUUGGAUACAUGUGAUCUAGUUAUAAUAUUCAUAUCCCAUGCUUAGGUC